CGGGGGGAGCAAGCGUUGUUCGGAAUCACUGGGCGUAAAGGGCGUGUAGGCGGUUCGGUAAGUGGAAUGUGAAAUCCCUCGGCUCACCCGAGGACCUGCAUCCCAAACUGCCGAGCUUGAGUAUGGGAGAGGAUGAGGGAAUUCCUGGUGUAGCGGUGAAAUGCGUAGAUAUCAGGAGGAACACCGGUGGCGAAGGCGCUCAUCUGGCCCAAUACUGACGCUGAUGCGCGAAAGCUAGGGGAGCAAACGGGAUUAGAUACCCCGGUAGUCCUAGCCGUAAACGGUGAUCACUAGGUGUUGGAGGCAUCGACCCCUCCAGUGCCGCAGCUAACGCAUUAAGUGAUCCGCCUGGGGAGUACGGCCGCAAGGUUG
rnacentral:rRNA from 1 species